rnacentral:rRNA from 1 species
UAGAGUUUGAUCCUGGCUCAGAGCGAACGCUGGCGGCAAGCUUAACACAUGCAAGUCGAACGCUGUAGCAAUACAGAGUGGCGGACGGGUGUAUAACGCGUGGGAAUUUGCCUUUCAGUAUGGAAUAACUCAGGGAAACUUGAGCUAAUACCAUAUAAUGUCUCCGGACCAAAGAUUUAUCGCUGAAAGAUAAGCCCGCGUCUGAUUAGCUAGUUGGUGGGGUAAAGGCCUACCAAGGCGACGAUCAGUAGCUGGUCUAAGAGGAUGAUCAGCCACACUGGGACUGAGACACGGCCCAGACUCCUACGGGAGGCAGCAGUGGGGAAUAUUGGACAAUGGAGGAAACUCUGAUCCAGCUAUGCCGCGUGAGUGAUGAAGGCCUUCGGGUUGUAAAGCUCUUUAGUCAGGGACGAUAAUGACGGUACCUGAAGAAUAAGCCCCGGCAAACUUCGUGCCAGCAGCCCCGGUCAA